AUUGAACGCUGUCGGCAGGCCUAACACAUGCAAGUCGAGCGGCGAAGCGGACGGGUGAGUCCUAACUAGGAAUCUGCCUGGUCGUGGGGGAUAACGAACGGAAACGGGCGCUACUGCCGCAUACUCUCCGAUGCACCUAGGCCGGAUUAGCUAGGUGGUUGGGUAAAGGCCUACCAAGGCGACGAUCCGUAACUGGUCUGAGAGGAUGAGCAGUCACACUGGAACUGAGACACGGUCCAGACUCCUACGGGAGGCAGCAGGGGGGAAUAUUGGACAAUGGGCGAAAGCCUGAUCCAGCCAGGCCGCGUGUGUGAAGAAGGCCUUCGGAUUGUAAAGCACUUGGAGUUGGAAGGCGUGACCAACAGAAUAAGCACCGGCUAACUUCGUGCCAGCCGCCGCGGUAAUAC
rnacentral:rRNA from 1 species